rnacentral:rRNA from 1 species
ACUGGAUUCAGCGGCGGACGGGUGAGUAAUGCUUAGGAAUCUGCCUAUUAGUGGGGGACAACGUUCCGAAAGGAGCGCUAAUACCGCAUACGUCCUACGGGAGAAAGCAGGGGACCUUCGGGCCUUGCGCUAAUAGAUGAGCCUAAGUCGGAUUAGCUAGUUGGUAGGGUAAAGGCCUACCAAGGCGACGAUCUGUAGCGGGUCUGAGAGGAUGAUCCGCCACACUGGGACUGAGACACGGCCCAGACUCCUACGGGAGGCAGCAGUGGGGAAUAUUGGACAAUGGGGGGAACCCUGAUCCAGCCAUGCCGCGUGUGUGAAGAAGGCCUUUUGGUUGUAAAGCACUUUAAGCGAGGAGGAGGCUACCUAGAUUAAUACUUUAGGAUAGUGGACGUUACUCGCAGAAUAAGCACCGGCUAACUCUGUGCCAGCAGCCGCGGUAAUACAGAGGGUGCGAGCGUUAAUCGGAUUUACUGGGCGUAAAGCGUGCGUAGGCGGCCAAUUAAGUCAAAUGUGAAAUCCCCGAGCUUAACUUGGGAAUUGCAUUCGAUACUGGUUGGCUAGAGUAUGGGAGAGGAUGGUAGAAUUCCAGGUGUAGCGGUGAAAUGCGUAGAGAUCUGGAGGAAUACCGAUGGCGAAGCAGCCAUCUGGCCUAAUACUGACG